GAGCGGCAGAACUCGUAGCUAGAGAACGAGGACCCACGAUGCGUACACGUUACAGUCCUGUUUCCCUAGAAACGGAGCCGCCGGCGCGGAGGUGGCUUUGAGGUUCUGCGAAAGACCUGAGUGCUCUCCGACACUUAACUGUGUUGCACCCUCCCCCGCGCCCAAUCCAAACCCAGUCGGAAUAACCACCCGGGACAGCGGUGGUCGAAGUAACUACGCCUAACUUUUCGCUUUCCAUCGUGUCCCCUCCAUAAAAACACUGCUGCGCCCCCGGAAUCCAAAGGCAAAGGAGGCACACUUCCCUGCCUUAGACUUGCUGGGAGUUUUAUAGGGGCAGUGCAUAACGUACAUGAUGGUGUGUGACGAUUCGGAUAGUAGUACGAGUCAUAAACCCAAAUUCCCAUAGGAUCCGGCCAGGACUUCUAAAAUUCCUUGCAAGACAAGUCUACUGGUGACAAAUUCCCUCAAAUUUUGUUUGCCUGAGAAAGUCUUUCUCCCUCACUGUUGAAGGAUAAUUUCACUGGAUACAGAAUUCUAGAAAUUGAACUUCCUACUGCAGAAAACUUCCUGCUAAGGUUAUCACCUCUUGGAGAACAAACUGGAAUGACAGAGUCAUGUGUCCAGGCUGGCUCCUCAAAAGAUCCCAGAAGAG